rnacentral:rRNA from 1 species
UACGUAGGGUGCAAGCGUUAAUCGGAAUUACUGGGCGUAAAGCGCACGUAGGCGGCUUUGCAAGUUAGAGGUGAAAGCCCGGGGCUCAACUCCGGAAUUGCCUUUAAAAACUGCAUCGCUAGAAUUGUGGAGAGGUAAGUGGAAUUCCGAGUGUAGAGGUGAAAUUCGUAGAUAUUCGGAAGAACACCAGUGGCGAAGGCGACUUACUGGACACAUAUUGACGCUGAGGUGCGAAAGCGUGGGGAGCAAACAGG